GGAGAGAUGGCUCAGUGGUUAAGAGCACUGGCUUCCAGAGGUCCUGAGUUCAAAUCCCAGCAACCUCA
rnacentral:tRNA from 1 species